AAAAGGGAAAAUACGGAGAAUACAGGGAAUUCAGUCCGACUGCAAGCGAGACUCUCAAAACGAGCAGCUAUGGAUACAAAGCUUUUGAAAUAAUAGAAAUGCACAAAAUAUCGUUCAACAUGAAGAAAAACGGAAAAAAGCGAUAGGAAUCAAUUAUGGUACGCAAGAGACAAAUUUUUCUUCUGUGAUGACAUGAGAAAUUGUUUAUACUGAAACAGACCAAUAAUCCUCAAAAUGAUCAAUUUUGGACAGCUACUGAUACCUAGAAGUUUCUCUGGAUGGAGUAAAUACGAGUCCCGUCACCAUUAAACAAUCCACCCAACCCAGAAGACAAGGGAGCUUUUGGAUACUGUAUUGGACCGAAAUAGCUUUCGUAAAGGACUUUCUGAUGGAACUAACCCGCAUUUGCGUUGCAUGGCUAGGAAAACUAGGAGAGCAACUUCCCAUGGAGCCUUCUUGACCGAACGAUAUGGCAAACGCUGCGCAAAUCAUGGAGGUACACACUGGAUGUAUCUUCGUGCUGUCCUUAUCUGUUUUGUGCUACCUGUUCCUCUAUAUGAUGAAGGUUUAUAAUUCGAAAUUGAGCACACAAGCCGGCAAAUAUACACCGAAGAGCCAUUACAUUAUGACCACUCUGCUAAUAACAUGUAGGACCAC